UAGUAGUUGGAUGGUACUGGAAACCAUUUUUUCCAGUGUGAUACAUGAUUUAAAAGAAAUGCAAGGAUAAAUAAUUACUUAAUUAUUAAAAAUAUGGUAAAUCAUCUCACUUUAAUUUCUCAUGCCAAUAAUUUGUCAGCUAUAGUUGAUAAUAAUUUUUAAGAGCUAUCAUAGUGGGGUACUUACAAGAGCUAUCCACAUAUUUUGCCAUUUAAUUCUAAUGACAAUUUAAUGAAGUCAGUACUCUUACUAUCCCUUUUUCUUAAUACUAAGCAAGCUAAGAGGGGUAAAAAGGUCACAAAGUUAGUGAAACACCUUAUUCCACAUUUGUCUUGAUUCUGCAGCUCAUGAUCUUAACCUCUAUGCUAGCUUACCUAUUUAUUUGAUAUUUACUGAUUACCUACUUUGAAUGUGGUUCUAAAACUAAUUUUUAAGUAAUUGCAAUACUGCUUUUCUGACAAACUUGGAAAAUCAUGUAAAAUAUUUCUUUAUUAGCUGAUUUUCACCCCUACCAAGGAUAAUUCUAGUGGUCUGUUAUAUCAAGUACAGAACUUAGAAUUCUUCAGUGCAGAAAAUCAAAGUUAUGCUGAUCAUGGUGGUCCAUGCCUGUAAUCCCAGCUGCUUGGGAGGUUGAAGUGGUAGGAUUGCAAGUUCAAAGCCAGCCUCGGCAAAAAUGAGAUUUAAGCAACUCAGUGAGAUCCUAUGUCUAACUAAAAUACAAAAUGGGGCUGGGGAUAUGGCUCAGUGGUUGAGUGCCCCUGAGUUCAAUCCCUGGUACCCCCUCCCCAUAAAAGAAAAUCAAAGUUAUGAUAGUUCAGUAUAUACUACUAGUUAGAAUGCAGAACAUGCAUCUUUAUCCCAAUAUAAUUGAUCCUGUAAGAUAAUCUAACAAAAAGAAGGUAGGACAGAUUGUUUUUAGAAGGAAUUUUAAGAAAAGCAUAUACCUUUAAGGAGGAGGUAUGUAUUAUUGGCUCUUGCCCUUGUGCUUUGAGUAGCUCACUAAAAGCUUUACUUGCAUUUCAUCAUUCUCAUAAGCCAAAUAUAAAUGAAUUGUUU
rnacentral:lncRNA from 1 species